rnacentral:rRNA from 1 species
UGGGGAAUAUUGGACAAUGGGGGCAACCCUGAUCCAGCCAUGCCGCGUGAGUGAAGAAGGCCUUAGGGUUGUAAAGCUCUUUCAGUCGUGACGAUGAUGACGGUAGCGACAGAAGAAGCCCCGGCUAACUCCGUGCCAGCAGCCGCGGUAAUACGGAGGGGGCAAGCGUUGUUCGGAUUUACUGGGCGUAAAGGGCGCGUAGGCGGGGUAUCAAGUUAGGGGUGAAAGCCCGGGGCUCAACCUCGGAACUGCCUUUAAAACUGAUACUCUAGAGUCCGGAAGAGGGUCGCGGAAUUCCCAGUGUAGAGGUGAAAUUCGUAGAUAUUGGGAAGAACACCAGUGGCGAAGGCGCUCUACUGGGCCGAGACUGACGCUGAUGGACGAAAGCUAGGGGAGCGAAAGGGAUUAGAUACCCCGGUAGUCC